rnacentral:rRNA from 1 species
CUAACUGCAAGUCGAGCGGACAGAUGGGAGCUUGCUCCCUGAUGUUAGCGGCGGACGGGUGAGUAACACGUGGGUAACCUGCCUGUAAGACUGGGAUAACUCCGGGAAACCGGGGCUAAUACCGGAUGGUUGUUUGAACCGCAUGGUUCAAACAUAAAAGGUGGCUUCGGCUACCACUUACAGAUGGACCCGCGGCGCAUUAGCUAGUUGGUGAGGUAACGGCUCACCAAGGCAACGAUGCGUAGCCGACCUGAAAGGGUGAUCGGCCACACUGGGACUGAAACACGGCCCAAACUCCUACGGGAGGCAGCAGUAGGGAAUCUUCCGCAAUGGACGAAAGUCUGACGGAGCAACGCCGCGUGAGUGAUGAAGGUUUUCGGAUCGUAAAGCUCUGUUGUUAGGGAAAAACAAGUACCGUUCGAAUAGGGCGGUACCUUGACGGUACCUAACCAGAAAGCCACGGCUAACUACGUGCCAGCAGCCGCGGUAAUACGUAGGUGGCAAGCGUUGUCCGGAAUUAUUGGGCGUAAAGGGCUCGCAGGCGGUUUCUUAAGUCUGAUGUGAAAGCCCCCGGCUCAACCGGGGAGGGUCAUUGGAAACUGGGGAACUUGAGUGCAAAAAGGAAGUGGAAUUCCACGUGUAGCGGUGAAAUGCGUAAGAUGUGGAGGAACACCAUGGCGAAGGCGACUCUCUGGUCUGUAACUGACGCUGAGGAGCGAAAGCGUGGGGAGCGAACAGGAUUAGAUACCCUGGUAGUCCACGCCGUAAACGAUGAGUGCUAAGUGUUAGGGGGUUUCCGCCCCUUAGUGCUGCAGCUAACGCAUUAAGCACUCCGCCUGGGGAGUACGGUCGCAAGACUGAAACUCAAAGGAAUUGACGGGGGCCCGCACAAGCGGGCAUGUGGUUAAUUCGAAGCACGCGAAAACCUUACCAGGUCUUGACUCCUCUGAUCCUAAGAUAGGACGUCCCCUUCGGGGGCAGAGUGACAGGGGGCAUGUCGUCAGC